rnacentral:rRNA from 1 species
AGAGUUUGAUCCUGGCUCAGAUUGAACGCUGGCGGUAUGCUUAACACAUGCAAGUCGAACGGAAACGAAACUAGCUUGCUAGUAGGCGUCGAGUGGCGGACGGGUGAGUAACGCGUAGGAAUCUGCCUGAUAGUGGGGGAUAGCCCGAAGAAAUUCGGAUUAAUACCGCAUAAUCUAUUCGUAGUAAAGUGGGGGACUUUUAAGCCUCACGCUAUCAGAUGAGCCUGCGUAAGAUUAGCUAGUUGGUAGGGUAAAAGCCUACCAAGGCAACGAUCUUUAGCUGGUCUGAGAGGAUGAUCAGCCACAUCGGGACUGAGACACGGCCCGAACUCCUACGGGAGGCAGCAGUGGGGAAUAUUGGACAAUGGGGGCAACCCUGAUCCAGCAAUACCGCGUGUGUGAAGAAGGCCUGAGGGUUGUAAAGCACUUUCAAUUGUGAAGAAAAGUUAACGGUUAAUAACCGUUAGCCUUGACGUUAACUUUAGAAGAAGCACCGGCUAACUCCGUGCCAGCAGCCGCGGUAAUACGGAGGGUGCAAGCGUUAAUCGGAAUUACUGGGCGUAAAGCGUGCGUAGGCGGUUUAUUAAGUCAGAUGUGAAAGCCCCGGGCUUAACCUGGGAACUGCAUUUGAAACUGGUCAACUAGAGUAUGGUAGAGGAAAGUGGAAUUUCUGGUGUAGCGGUGAAAUGCGUAGAUAUCAGAAGGAACAUCAAUGGCGAAGGCAGCUUUCUGGACCAAUACUGACGCUGAGGUACGAAAGCGUGGGUAGCAAACAGGAUUAGAUACCCUGGUAGUCCACGCCGUAAACGAUGAUAACUAGCCGUUGGGGGGAUUUACCCUUUAGUGGCGAAGCUAACGCGUUAAGUUAUCCGCCUGGGGAGUACGGCCGCAAGGUUAAAACUCAAAGGAAUUGACGGGGACCCGCACAAGCGGUGGAGCAUGUGGUUUAAUUCGAUGCAACGCGAAGAACCUUACCUGGUCUUGACAUCCUGCGAACUUUCUAGAAAUAGAUUGGUGCCUUCGGGAACGCAGUGACAGGUGCUGCAUGGCUGUCGUCAGCUCGUGUCGUGAGAUGUUGGGUUAAGUCCCGUAACGAGCGCAACCCCUAUCCUUAUUUGCCAGCACGUCAUGGUGGGAACUAUAAGGAGACUGCCGGUGAUAAACCGGAGGAAGGCGGGGACGACGUCAAGUCAUCAUGGCCCUUACGACCAGGGCUACACACGUGCUACAAUGGGAAGGACAAAGAGCCGCGAAGCCGCGAGGUGUAGCUAAUCUCAGAAACCUUUUCGUAGUCCGGAUUGGAGUCUGCAACUCGACUCCAUGAAGUCGGAAUCGCUAGUAAUCGUAGAUCAGAAUGCUACGGUGAAUACGUUCCCGGGUCUUGUACACACCGCCCGUCAUACCAUGGGAGUGGGUUGCACCAGAAGUGGCUAGUCUAACUUAGUGAGGACGGUCACCACGGUGUGAUUCAUGACUGGGGUAAAGUCGUAACAAGGUAACC